UUGUUUGUCAAUUGAAUUUCCAGAAGUUCGACUCCUAAUGGCAUUGGAAGAUGCCGAGGAAUCAAUAUUUUAUCGGCAUGUUGUUCCGGAAAGCUUGUGGAAGCUACAAAGAUGGCUUGGAAUUGGAGAAGAAAAGAAACUGAAAAAAGCUAAGGAAACGUUAGAUAGUGUCAUAUUCGAACUCAUACAAAGGAAAAGAAGAGAGAUUAACGAAGAAAUUUUAUCGAAAGAAAUAGAUGGGGUGGAUUUGUUAGCAUCAUACAUGCACGAAAACAAAACCAUUAUGGGAGAAUUGCAACGUGCUGACGACAAUUUCUUGAGAGAUACAGUCUUGAAUUUCAUGAUUGCGGGGAGAGACACAACUAGUUCAGCUCUCACUUGGUUCUUUUGGCUUAUUUCAAAGAACCCAAAAGCAGAAACCAAGAUUAGAGAAGAGCUUAGUUCGAUAGUACCAGCUGAGAAACUCGGAAAAUGGUGGGAUUUUGACACGCAAAAGCUAAAUCAAUUGGUUUAUUUACAUGGCGCUUUGUGCGAAGCAUUAAGGCUUUACCCACCAGUUCCUUUUCAGCAUAAAGUUCCUUUAGUGCCAGACACUCUUCCAAGCGGACACCGCGCCGUUCCGAGAACAAAGAUCUUGUUUUCUCUGUAUGCAAUGGGGAGAAUGAAGUCAAUAUGGGGAGAAGAUUGCUUGG
rnacentral:lncRNA from 1 species